rnacentral:lncRNA from 1 species
AAAAAAAAAAAAAAAAACACCCCACUCUUACUCCUCACUCUCUCCCUCUGUCGGACUUGGGCAGCGGAAAGAAAUAGAAAAGAAGAAAAAAAAUUUCCUCCCUCAAUCUCCAACUAUCUCUUGGCCUCUCCCUCAACAAACGAAAGCCGCAGACAAAAAAGUGGAAGCUUGGGAGCUUGCUGCUAGUGCCAUUACCACCACCACUGCCAUAAUAAUCUCCAUUGUAAAACCAUUGUAAGUCUCUCCUUUUAUUUUUUGUUUUGAUUCCAACGAGAUAGCUCCGGGAAAUUUUGCAAACAUUUAGUUGAUCCUUAUUUUAAUUCAAACUGGUUCGAU